GGGUCAAUUAUGAGAACUCUUAUGGUCCUGAAUAGAGAUGAUGACCUAAAAAUCAUGCUCAGUAGGAUUAUACUGAUGCCC